UGGCUUUGAUCUUUAAUGCAUCAUAUAUCAUUUCCAAAAGGCAGCGUCAGCCAUCCUGGACGCGGCGUUUGCAGCGAGGAUGGAUGGAGGGGAGACAAUCCGUACCUGAGAGCAGGGUAUCCCAUCCGUACUUGAUGGAUUAAUACGAAUCCUGGCAUAUCUUUUCACCAACUUUACAAUUUACUACCCAUAUUUGUAUUUGCCACGUCAAUCAAUAAAGUAAACUUGCAUACUAGUAACUAUGAUGAU
rnacentral:lncRNA from 1 species